CUGCGAGCUCAUAUGGAGCUGCCCUGAGCUGACUCACGCCGACGUCGCAGAGCAGAUCAGCGAGGAGCUCAGCGCCGCUAGCGGCCACGACGCCAACACCACCGUCCUGGCCUCCGUCACCCUCGCCUACUACCACUUCUGUCAGGGACAGCUGAGUGAGGGGUGGCCACUGCUGCAGUGCGCGCUACGUCACGACGUCGUGGCCACCAAGAAGACGCCCAACGCUACCAUCGUGCAGUGCCUCGCCCACUACACGGCCUCCCUCUACAGCCUUCUGCCUCACCACCUUCAGGCCGCCUCUCCUCCCCUCAACCCGGUCGCCGUGGCUCAGAUCGCUGCACGCUCAGCCAUCGCUCUCACCCACACCUUGGUUGAUGCUC